UAUCGGCAAAGGAAAAUGCCGACCCGAUUUUUAUUCUUCUCCAUUUCAAUAUAUUCCUAUCCGAUUCAUCGUUUCUUCCGAUUGAUUAACGAAUCGCAAACAAUACAGUGCAAACUUCGAGAAAAUGUCGCAUCGUUGCGCUGGUUAUCCUUGAUUCGAGGAAAAAUCUUAUCGAACAUACUUAUUCUUUUAAUGCAAUCAGCAGAAAUUGCAGUUCCUCUAUAACUUUCAUGAUACAAGAACAAGUAAAGUGUUUUAUUUACUUUUCAUUUCAUCUCUUUUUGUUUAGAAAAGUUUUAUUCAAAAUUUGAAAAAAAUUCAAUUUUCUGAAUUUAUCCACGCGAAUUUCCGUCACAUUGUUUCUAUUUUAACAAAAUGCAGUUGAUUUCUGAUAAGCGGUUGUUAAUUGGAACAAGACGAUCGUUAAUCGAACUUAACCGGGGUCCUUCCACUAUCGGCCAACGUUACAAACAAACAAAUGACUAUGAAUGGACGAAGUCCACGAUCGCUGUUUGAAGAAACGAACUGUUUCAAAAUAAACUGCACAUGAAAAAGUAACGAAGUGGUAGCAUAAUCGAAGCUUAAAGUUUAUUCAUUAUAAGGAAACUAAUCUAAAAAUAAAUAAAACCAUCUGUGGUUUACAUUAAAAAAUUAUAAAACAAAAGCUUAUCAAAUGUUUUGACCAGAGGAUCUCUAAAGAAGUAUGAGCAAUUUAAAGUGAUCCAAGGUUUCGUUUGGAAAGAGAAACUCGAGGGCAGUAUUGAAACCACCUUUACAGCUUGCGAUAAAAUAUGGAAACGACAGGAAGUCGAGUGUCAAAGUAAAAGUACCUGAAAAGCAUAAAAAACGAAGAAAAAAUAACCAACCAUAGAUGACACCCACUGCAAGUGAACUCAUUAAACUUUCGGAUGACGGACCACGGAGAGAGUCCUAAUUUCAGUUCAGUUCAGUAUUUCAUAUUAUUCUCAUUUUCUAAACUUCAAACUGUUCCUUUAUUUCCCCAAUACAUAAAACUCUUUUAUUUAAAAAUUAUUCCUUUUAGUUCCAGCGUCGAUUGACCCAGGCUUCACUGCUGAAGGGUUGAAGUGAAAAAAGAAAAGAGAAAAAAAAUUGUCCAGCCUUUCUAUCCAGCCAUUAUUCAGCAAGCAUCAAACCCUCAAAUCCUCUCUGUCCGUAGUUCAAACGCGCCCCGUGCAGCAGGGGUGUCUGACGUUCAAAAACCAUGAAAAAGAAAAAAAAAAA